ACAGUUAUCAACAUUUCUUCCAAACAAUUGGACUGACUGGCGACAAUGAGAGCUUUAGAGUAUAUUGGAUCUAAUGGAAUACGGGCCAUCUGAUGUCCUACUGGAUCAGAUAGUUUGCCAUCAUUAGCUAUAGCCCCAAGCAGAAUCAACUGCUCCAACGACUUGAAAAUAGCUUGCCUGUUGAAAAUAAGGGUCAAGGACACUUUGCAAUCUUUCAA
rnacentral:misc_RNA from 1 species